GUUGAGACGGCUGGGAGAGAAGAAGGGCACAUGCUUCGUCCUUUUAGUUCACAGGUCUCUGGAUCAACAGAUGCUGUACCCAAGGAGCUGGACCUGUGGAAUUAUCCCCCAGGAAUUUUGACUGCACCUGGAUUGGAUUUAGUGUAAGAAGAGUAACUGUCAUGAGCCUCAAAUGAGUUCUGCAGUAGAGAAACCAUAUAAUGAAGUAAAGAAAAAAACAAACAACAACAAAAAAAAAACCUUUAUACUGAUCACUACAUGGGCAAAAAAGAAGACAGUUGUAGAGGAUUUCCAGCUGAUGCCUAAGUGGAUUUUUCUGGAAGAAAGAAUGUAUCUUUAGAAAGCAGAGUGAGGAUCCUUCCUAAUGUAAUUUGAAACAUAGUUUCGUAUGUCUAACUUCUGCUUUGCCUCAUGCUCACUGAAAUCUACAGCUAGCCUCAUUUUCCACUUGUUUUUGACUCUCUCAGGCAUCUUGAGGAUUGAGAUCAUGUCGUAGUUAUCUUUUAGACUUAGUAAAUGAGUAAUAAAUGUUUCUUUUGAGUGACUCAAAAA
ensembl:lncRNA novel transcript